rnacentral:rRNA from 1 species
AGUUUAGUCUGCCCAGUGAUGAGGAUUUUAACGGCCGCAGUACUUUGACUGUGCUAAGGUAGCAAAAUAAAUAGGCUUUUAAUUGAGGUCGAGUAUGAAUGGCAUUAUGGGUGGAAACUGUCUCAUUUACUUUUACCAAAGAAUUUAAUAAAUAGGUGAAAAUACCUAUAUAAUAAAUAAUAGACGAGAAGACCCUUAGAGUUUUUAAUAAGUAGCUGGUAGUGCAGUUGAAAUUUUUUAUUGGGGCGAUAAAGUAUCAAUUUAGAAGCAUACUUAACUUAAUUAAAAUUACAAGUCUUUAAUUUAAAUGUGAAUAUAACUACCUGAGGGAUAACAGCAUAAUUUUAUUAAUAAGAUUGUGACCUCGAUGUUGGAUUAGGGACUAAAUGUAUUAGUCAUACGC